GAGGGGGAAUUAUGAAGAAGAAGGAUCUUAGGGCGAUGGAAUUUGCUGUGAGGUCAGACUGGGUCUCCAGCUAGAGCCUGUGGUUGCAGCCUGCAGUCACAGUGUAGCUAGGUAAAAACCUGCAAUCAUAAUUUAGCAGGGAAUACUCAACAGUCAGAGGCUGCAAGGGAAACCUCCAGCAGGAGCUUGCUGCAGCCAGAGUCAGGGAAUAGUUGGAGUUAGGAUGGAUGAGCUGUACAGAGGAAUAAACCAGGACCCUUUCCAUGCUGUGAUAAGGAAGAAGUAUGUGUCUCGGCUCAUUUCUACUCUCUAACAAGAGGGCUACUGCAACAACAAGGAUGAUGAUGGAAAAACUGCCUUGUGGGAAUAUGUCCUGCCUUGUACUGGCCUCUGGGAUGUGCCUGGGAAUGCUGGGGUUACACCAGUGAGAAAUAAAACCACAGCAGCGACAAAUGACAAGGGCUGGAGGCUUGUCAGUGGUUGCAGAAGAGUUUCAAGGCCUUCCUUCUUUGAUCACGCAAAGUCCGUGGGCCAAGGGAUGCUUGGGGAGCACUGCAAAACACUGAGGGGGACUUUCAAAUAUUAACAAUAUCCUGGAGAACUUACCCUGGAAACCUGCAGAAUUUGAUCUAAUUUCUUCUUCAAGGCUUCAAGGAAUUGAUAAAACUUCAGAUAGCUGAAAGAGAUCUGAUUUAUAUCUAUAAGCUUCAUGUGUACUAAGCCUUUUCCAGCUUUAGGCAGUAGAGGUAGGAAACUCUGACCAUAAAUCAACAGAAACAGCAUCAUGGCCACAGCCUCCUUGCUGCUUUGCCCGUGCCACUGCUGUGCUGGCCACUUCUACCACUCCAGGAGCAAGGAUUAAUGCCUGAUACUGGGACUAAAGAGAAAAAUAAGACUUUCAAUGUUGCUGCUCAUUCUCAAUAAUCCAUUCUUCCUCCACAACAAGGGGGACUGGGAGGCUCAUCCCUCUCUUCCCUUCUCCACCUCAGACCUUCUCCUUGUCUCAUCCUCAGAUCAGCAGAAUUCAUGUCUUCCUUCUCUGCUCAGAGACACAGAGUGCAUUAUGCUGUCUCAUGAUUUCACCUCCCACAGAGCACAACAUGAAGUUUACACUGAAGUAGGUACUGACAGUUGUUUUUCUCUAAAAAUAUGGCAUUUUUCACAUCUGUCACCCCUUUAAGAUUGGCAAUUAUUUCUCUAAUCUGAUAAUGUGAUUACUCUUUCUCAUUUCUUGAUCCUUUGGGUUUGAUUCUGAUUCUGCUAGUUAUACUUGAAAUGUCAUAGGAGAUUCAAAGUUCCAGAAAUUCCCAUUUUGUUCAAAGAAGCUAAGUGUAGCAUAAUCAGUCAUGUCCUUCAAAGCCAUUUUCUGAAUUUGUAGUAGGCAUCAAAGUAACUCCAGUGGUUAUUGGGGUUAGUGGGGUCAUAUCACCAUCUCUACAAAUUAAUGAAACUUCACUGAAGAACUGUAUCACUUUACAUCACUGUAGGUUUGCACAGACUCUCAGACUUCAUUGUGAUGGGGUCAUAUAUGAAAGCUGAAAGAAGAUAAAGAGAGGGAAAUAUUAAUUCAGAAUUACAUCCUGUGAUCCCAUUUUAAUUUUUCCUCUGCUGUAUUUUGGCAACUAAAAUGUCACUGCAUUUGAAGUCUCAGUCCCAGAUGCUUCCUGAAACACUUGGAAAACUAUCCAUCGAGAAAAGUUCCAGACAUUUAAUACCGUCUGCCUCUUUUUCUCUGAUUUUCUCUGCUUUUCUCUGAUCUCUAAAUUUGUUAUCUCAAAUGCUUCAGCACAAGAAUGAGGCUCUCUCCUGAGCAUCUCAGCUGUUCCUGAUGCUAUCCUUCACAUGUGGUCAUAAUUCUCUCCAGUGA